rfam:Gossypium hirsutum cultivar TM-1 chromosome 20, whole genome shotgun sequence
CCAGCGGAGUUUUUAAACUCCACAAACAAGAUUAGGAUUUUGACA